UGGGGAAUAUUGCGCAAUGGGCGAAAGCCUGACGCAGCGACGCCGCGUGAGUGAUGAAGGCCUUCGGGUUGUAAAGCUCUGUGGGGAGAGAAGAAUAAGUCGUAGCUAACAUCUACGAUGAUGACGGUAUCUCCUUAGCAAGCACCGGCUAACUCUGUGCCAGCAGCCGCGGUAAGACAGAGGGUGCAAACGUUGUUCGGAAUUACUGGGCGUAAAGCGCAUGUAGGCGGUCGGGCAGGUCGGAUGUGAAAGCCCUUGGCUUAACCAAGGAAGUGCAUUCGAAACCGCUCGACUUGAGUCCUGGAGAGGAUAGUGGAAUUCUUGGUGUAGAGGUGAAAUUCGUAGAUAUCAGGAGGAACACCUGUGGCGAAAGCGGCUAUCUGGACAGUGACUGACGCUG
rnacentral:rRNA from 1 species